CAUUUAGUCGGGACUCACGAUAGAGAGAUUAUAUCACACGAUGACUACACCUAGGAGUUUAUCUUUUCUAUUCUGUUGGAUUGUCAUUACAUGCUGCUAGACAUCACUGAUGGAUUAUGAGAACUCAUUAGGAUUAUUUUUGGAUCAAUGAUUCUUGUUGAGGUGAGUCAAAAUUGUUUCAGCUCAUCGAAAGGAGUUUCGAUGAUACUAUGAUGGAGAUCACGGUAUAUCUCACUACAAAUAGAAUAGAACUUGAGGGGUCACACACAAAAGCAGUAUGACCU
rnacentral:lncRNA from 1 species